CACCAGCCAUGCAGAAGAGACAAAUUCCAGAACACUCUAACUGAGAUGGGGAAGUAUCAGAAGGAUCUGCUUACUUCUCUCUGCAUCAGUUCAUAUAAGUCUUCAAAUGGUCUUUCUUUACUUCUCAACAAUUUGCUUUGCUUUGCCUGAGAAAACUCUACAGAUGAGAAUUGAAAUCAUCCCCAAGAAAGAGGAUGACAAGACUAAAGACUUAGGCAAAUGACAUCACUUCCUGGUCACCUGUAUAAAAAACAGGUACCAGGAGGAUCAAGUACCCACAGAUGCUUGGCUGUUGGACCACCAUGGACAACUUAGAGCCAAAGGAGCUUUACUCAACUGAAUUAACUCAUGGUGUCCUCAAUACCCAACCUUAUUGAAGAGCCUCCUGCAC
rnacentral:lncRNA from 1 species